UAGUAUUAUAUUAAAGGUAAGUUCUGCCCUAUGAAUAAUUAAAUGGCUGCAGUAUACUGACUGUGCAAAGGUAGCAUAAUAAUUAGUCUUUUAAUUGGAGGCUUGUAUGAAUGAAUAAAUGAGAAGUUUUUUUUAUUACUAUUAGUAUUAUAAUUUAAUUUUUAAGUAAGAAAGCUUAAAUGGUUUUUAGGGACGAGAAGACCCUAUAGAAUUUUAAUUUUUAAAUCUUAAUUUUUAUUUUAGUUUAAUUAAUUUUUUUAUUAUAUGAAUAUUUUUGUUGGGGUGACAGAUAAAUUUAUCUUUAUUUUUUUAUAUCAUUUAUAUAUGUUUUGUUGAUCCAAUAGUUUUGAUUAAAAGAUUUAAUUACCUUAGGGAUAACAGCGUAAUUUUUAUGGGGAGUUCAUAUUUAUAUAAAAGUUUGCGACCUCGAUGUUGAAUUAAGAUAAUUUUUUGGUGUAG
rnacentral:rRNA from 1 species